UACGGAGGGUGCAAGCGUUGUCCGGAAUCAUUGGGCGUAAAGGGCGCGUAGGUGGCGGGACAAGCGUGCGGUGAAAGCCUGGGGCUCAACCCCGGGUCGGCCGUGCGAACUGUUUUGCUUGAGCACUGUAGAGGCAGGCGGAAUUCCGGGUGUAGCGGUGGAAUGCGUAGAGAUCCGGAAGAACACCGGUGGCGAAGGCGGCCUGCUGGGCAGUAGCUGACACUGAGGCGCGACAGCGUGGGGAGCAAACAGG
rnacentral:rRNA from 1 species